rnacentral:lncRNA from 1 species
GUAAGAGCUGGUCCUGGGGUGAAGGGUGGGAGGAGGGGGAAGACAAGGAGGUGGAGAGGUGGGGGUGAACCGGAGAAGAGCUAGGUGUAGAUAGGACCCCGCCUGGUCAGGAGAUGGGGCUGCCAUGGUUGACAGAUCCCUUAGGUUUGGAUGAUGACCCAAGAUCCAACUCAGCCCUUUGACUUUCCCUGGAGCAUUGACAGGGAUCCAACUUCAAAUGAAAUCAACUUCACUGAUUGCACAUCUGCCAGCCGUCACAUACAUCUUGAAGGAGAGAGUGCCUGGACCGUGAGAAUAUCCUGCCCUGGGGCCAGGGAUGUGAGAAAAGGGGGAUGGAUAAGGGUGCUACUUCAUUCCUUAUUCGUCCCACCUAUUUCUUUCUUAGGUGCUUAGUAUAAGAAAUAAUCAGACAGAAACAUGUGGAUGGGUUAGAUAGGAAGAGGAGGUUUCCCCCGGGAAUUCACAGAAGUCAUUCUGCAGCACCUUGGUAUCAGAGGCGGGGUUGUAGUACCCUCUAGUGAACGCUGUAGGAACUUACACAAUAUCAGAUUUGGGAUGUGACAGACUGAGCUGGGCUAAAUUCACCAAAGGCAAGAUUUUUUACCAGGAGGAUGGCCUCCAAAGUGUUUGAAAAUCAGGCCCAUAAGAGAACACAGUGUGGGGGGCUGGGGCGGGGGCGCGUGCACACACACGUGUGUAUGUGAGUGUGGGGAGCUGUGUGGCUUCUCCUAACUUCCAGAAGUCAGGAAAUGGUUACAGAGGCAGAAUGUGGGAGUAGCUGAUGGCAAUAGCCCAAAGAUUUUACUUAAAAAUGCGAGAAAACCAAAGGCUGUGGAGAUAGGAACUUUCCCCCUCUCUUGAAGUGGACUAAGGAAGGUGAUUAAGUAAGAAAAGAAGGCACAGCCAGUAACUUUCCAAGUAGAAUUGGAUGCACGCCUGGGGUGAGUCUGGACGUCAGUUAAACUGAGAAAUACUCUGAUUCCCACUGACCCUCUUGAUUCACCAGGAACAGAUGGGGGCCGAGAGAUAUCACAACCCCAGCGAAUAAAGGGACGCUUUUGUCACAAGGGGAAAACAGAAGGGUUUGGCGGACAGAGCAGUGCUGGAGGCCAGGAAGUCCAAGAUCAAGGUGCUGGCAGAUUCAGUUCUUGGACUGAACAUAUAAGUCAGAUUUCUCACCGUUGGAGAAGAAAGUACAAAUAUAGAAAGAAGAAAGGCUAAAAUGAACCUUGUGGAAUUGGAUUAGAAUGGGAAAUAUUAAUAUGAAUUCAUGGUUUGUGCACGUUUGUAUAUGUGUAUAUACAUACUUUCCAGCUCAGUCCACCGAAAGGGGCUAGAAAGACUAACACCUCAGUAGCAAU